rnacentral:rRNA from 1 species
CGGCUGUCACUUACAGAUGGACCCGCGGCGCAUUAGCUAGUUGGUGGGGUAAUGGCUCACCAAGGCGACGAUGCGUAGCCGACCUGAGAGGGUGAUCGGCCACACUGGGACUGAGACACGGCCCAGACUCCUACGGGAGGCAGCAGUAGGGAAUCUUCCGCAAUGGACGAAAGUCUGACGGAGCAACGCCGCGUGAGUGAUGAAGGUUUUCGGAUCGUAAAGCUCUGUUGUUAGGGAAGAACAAGUGCGAGAGUAACUGCUCGCACCUUGACGGUACCUAACCAGAAAGCCACGGCUAACUACGUGCCAGCAGCCGCGGUAAUACGUAGGUGGCAAGCGUUGUCCGGAAUUAUUGGGCGUAAAGGGCUCGCAGGCGGUUUCUUAAGUCUGAUGUGAAAGCCCCCGGCUCAACCGGGGAGGGUCAUUGGAAACUGGGAAACUUGAGUGCAGAAGAGGAGAGUGGAAUUCCACGUGUAGCGGUGAAAUGCGUAGAGAUGUGGAGGAACACCAGUGGCGAAGGCGACUCUCUGGUCUGUAACUGACGCUGAGGAGCGAAAGCGUGGGGAGCGAACAGGAUUAGAUACCCUGGUAGUCCACGCCGUAAACGAUGAGUGCUAAGUGUUAGGGGGUUUCCGCCCCUUAGUGCUGCAGCUAACGCAUUAAGCACUCCGCCUGGGGAGUACGGUCGCAAGACUGAAACUCAAAGGAAUUGACGGGGGCCCGCACAAGCGGUGGAGCAUGUGGUUUAAUUCGAAGCAACGCGAAGAACCUUACCAGGUCUUGACAUCCUCUGACAACCCUAGAGAUAGGGCUUUCCCUUCGGGGACAGAGUGACAGGUGGUGCAUGGUUGUCGUCAGCUCGUGUCGUGAGAUGUUGGGUUAAGUCCCGCAACGAGCGCAACCCUUGAUCUUAGUUGCCAGCAUUUAGUUGGGCACUCUAAGGUGACUGCCGGUGACAAACCGGAGGAAGGUGGGGAUGACGUCAAAUCAUCAUGCCCCUUAUGACCUGGGCUACACACGUGCUACAAUGGACAGAACAAAGGGCUGCGAGACCGCAAGGUUUAGCGAAUCCCA